rnacentral:rRNA from 1 species
UACGUAGGUGGCAAGCGUUGUCCGGAUUUAUUGGGCGUAAAGCGAGCGCAGGCGGAAAGAUAAGUCUGAUGUGAAAGCCCCCGGCUUAACCGAGGAAUUGCAUCGGAAACUGUGUUUCUUGAGUGCAGAAGAGGAGAGUGGAACUCCAUGUGUAGCGGUGGAAUGCGUAGAUAUAUGGAAGAACACCAGUGGCGAAGGCGGCUCUCUGGUCUGUAACUGACGCUGAGGCUCGAAAGCGUGGGGAG